rnacentral:misc_RNA from 1 species
CUAGCAUUCAAUGCGUCGAGGGCAAACUCUUUCUGUCUAUUCCACUCCCAAUACCCAAUUUCUCCUCUGCACUCUGCGCUGCGCUGCUAGGUUCCUCUAUUUCCAGUUUCCACUUCGAUCUUGGAGAAGAUGAGGAGAAUGGUGAACAAGAAUAAGAUAGCCUACAUGCAAGACGACGCUAAGCUCUCUAUCCUCACCACUCAUUACUUCUUGUCCUUUGCUGAGUCUCACUCGCUCUCCGCCUCUAUCUCUACCAUUUUGGCCACUUGUCUAAGCUCCGGUACGUUCCGCCCAAAAUUCCCCUGUAUGGUAGCCGCGAAACUACGAGAAAGAGAAAGCCACUAAAUUUUCUUUUUGGUUAGCUUUUAUAUUUGUUCCUGUUUUUCUCUGCAACCAGACGGAAUCUAGUAUUUUUUUUAAUUAUUUUUUCUAAUUUAGGUUUGCAUUUGAGUAGGACGGUAAAUGUCCUGGAAAUUUUGCUGCUUUAUUUGUUUACAACCUGAAAAAUCUUAAUCUCGCAGCAAAUUGGCUUAAUCGAAUAGAUUUGAGCUUCUUUAGGUAUUUGGAGUAUACUAGUAGCCUUUGCAGGCUUUGAAUUCUAGUUUAGUUACAUAGUUAUAAUUUGAUUUGGAAGGUUGCAUUUGCCAGUGGUAAGUGUUGGCAAUUUAACGUUGGGACGCAAUGGAAUAACCCAAUGAUUGAGUUCAUUGCCCAAUGGUUAGCUGAUUCUGAUAUUACACCUCUCAUUCUUGCUAAUAUAGCUACGUUCACAAAGGUUCUCUUUUUUUUUCGAUAUUUUAAUGUUUGAUGCAAAUGGAUGACUACUAUGGAGAUAUCUUUUACUACGUACAAACUGAAGGACCAGGAAAUGGCAAGUCCAUGUGCAUGAUUUUGUUUCAUCCACCAGUUAAGUGGGUGGGAGCAGAGCUAUUAUCCUCAGAAGUCAGUAGUGAAUAGUUACAAUUGCCAAUUGGUUAUACUUUUGGCUGAAUCGGGAUAUUAACAUUGCUUUUCUGGCAGGGUUAUGUUAGAGGAGAUGAAGCUAGGAUGCUUAGAAGGCAACUUCCUUGGAAACUUGCAAAGAUUGGUAUAGGAGCAAAUUGAGCUGACACUGCUGCUUGUUUUCUCAAACAAUAUGGAUAUAUGGAUUUUAAAAGUUAUUUAUUUGAGAACGUGGGUAAACAAGAAUUUCCGAAGACUUAAGUAGGGAAAAAUUGAUGCCAUUGUUCUAGACGAUGGAAUGCAGGUAUCAAAUAUGUUAUCCCUCCAUUACUGUGAUGGAGACUUCAUUUUGUUGCUUGUAUGACAUACCAUCAAAUGGCUGGGCUACAUAUGGAUAGCUCUUCCUUGGAAGUAGGGGGCUGGUUCUGCAUCACCAUUGGCAUCUUGAUCAUAUGUUGAAAAUGGCUUUUCUUUUCAGGUAAAGUAUUGUUCCUUAAUCAGUUAGAAGAAAGUGUAUACCAACAAACUCUUUGACUUCAUUUUGUGGUUACGAUACUGAUAAUAUUCCACUUAUAGUUGGGAACACAAGUCAUUUACCGUCCAUCAAUUAAUUUUUAGUUGUUUUUAAGGAUACUUUUAUGUCCGAAGCAGUGAAACCAUGAGGCAAAUAUAUUUUGCUUAUAAAGGUAUGCUGAUAAUCAUAUUCUUUUGCAUGGAAGAUAGCAUUGGAGCUUGCACCGUGACCUUGAGAUUGUAAUGGUUAAUGGGCUAUCACCAUGGGGAAACCAUCAAUUAAUCCCACUCGGACCUUUAAGGGAACCCUUGACAGCCCUUAGAAGAGCAGAUGUUGCUGUAGUUCAUCAUGCAAACUUGGUAUAUGAAACCUUUUUUUUUUUCCUUUAUAUGUUUCACUAGAAAUUAUGCAGUUCAUGCAUGCUUUUAAUUAUAUAAUUUUAUCUUGUCAUGCCAUUUCUUUUCGUUGUUUGUGUAUUUGGGAGUGAUCAGACACAUUAAGAUGAAUGCAUUGAUUUAAAAGUUUUACGCAGGUUCCAGAACAAAGCCUCAAAGAUAUUGAGCUAAUGAUGCAAGAAGUUAAAGAAUCUCUUUCUAUUUUUUUCACUAGAAUGUCUCCAUUGCACUUCUUUGAAGUAGGAAAUAUCAACUUCAGAAUACCACUGGAUGUCAUACAGGAUGCCAUUGUGCUAUGUGUUUCUGCAAUUGGUUCAGCAAAUGCUUUUGUGCAAGGCAUUGAGAAGAUGGGAGCAUUUUAUGUUGAUCGAAUUGAUUUCACUGACCAUCACUCAUUUCAAACCAAGGUACAAUCUUCUUACUGUAGUGUCUUAAUUUUAUUUUGCAUUAUAUGAACAUUCCAAUUUUGUAUAAACUAAAGGUGCCAAUGCUUCUCACUUAAGUAUGGAUUUGAUUUUGAAGUUCACUCAGUGACUAUCACUUAUUCUCCUUUCUCUUACUAAUUUUGCACAUGAUGAAUUCAACUUUUAUCUAAUACAAAGAUUCUCAUGCUUGUCAUUCAAGCAUGGAUAUAAUAUGAUGUUAGUUAGACUCAACUUGCACUAUUUGGAGUUUGUGGCAGAUAAGCACGAGGGGAACAUAUUUGUUUAUCCCUGCCCACUUGAUGUUAAAUCUGGCACUGAUCUGAUAUGAUGUCCUCUGUCAAUUAAUCUAGGAUAUUGAGAUGAUUAUGAUGAAACUUAGAGAUCUAGAGGGCAAGUUUGGUUUCAAGCCGGUAGUUGUUGUAACAGAGAAGGUUAGUACAAAAUUUCAUUAUAAUGCUGGCAUAUUUUAUUUUUCUUUAGCUUAUCUCAGUAGUCAGUACCAUUAAUGAGAAAUCUCUGUUUGCAUCUAUUUUAGAUGUGUAGCUUCUUUAUGCAUUAUGGCAUAGAUUUAGUGGUUCAUUUGGUUGACGUCUAUAUCUUCCUUUUUGUGACAUGAGUAUGUCAAUGUAAUUGGUUUCCUUUACCUAGGACAACACUUGCACAAUUAUAUUGAAGCAUGUUCUGAAAAUUUAAUAGACUAUCAAAUUCUGGACCAUUGAAACCUUUGAAUAAAAUUUUUUACUUGUUUGCAUGAUUUCAUCAUCAUCAUCAUCAUAAUUAUUAAUAUUAAUCUGCAAUUUCGCAUUGCUCACCAAGUUUUCACCCUUCAUUUUUAGCCCUAAUGCGUUUGUAACAUGUUGCCCAGGUUCAUGUUUGCUAUAAUUUAAGUGAAUGCAUGUUUAUGUCAUUCUAAAUCUAGAUUUAUGUUUUGAAUUGAGAUACAGUGUCAACAUC